rnacentral:rRNA from 1 species
GACGAACGCUAGCUACAGGCUUAACACAUGCAAGUCGAGGGGCAGCAUGUUGGUUGCUUGCAACCAAUGAUGGCGACCGGCGCACGGGUGAGUAACGCGUAUCCAACCUACCCAAUACUCAGGCAUAACCCGUUGAAAGACGGACUAAUUCCUGAUGGUAUGUAUUUUUCUCAUGAAUUAUACAUUAAAGAAUUUCGGUAUUGGAUGGGGAUGCGUCUGAUUAGUUUGUUGGUGAGGUAACGGCUCACCAAGACUUCGAUCAGUAGGGGUUCUGAGAGGAAGGUCCCCCACAUUGGAACUGAGACACGGUCCAAACUCCUACGGGAGGCAGCAGUGAGGAAUAUUGGUCAAUGGAUGAAAAUCUGAACCAGCCAAGUAGCGUGCAGGAUGACGGCCCUAUGGGUUGUAAACUGCUUUUAUGUGAGAAUAAAGUUAGGUAUGUAUGCUUAUUUGCAUGUAUCACAUGAAUAAGGACCGGCUAAUUCCGUGCCAGCAGCCGCAGUAAAAC